GUUAUUUUCUUAAAACAGUAGGAAGAAGAAAAGCUUUUUGAAUGAAUCACUUCUCAUCUUCUCCGAAGUUGGAAGCAUCAAGAAUCUAAAUAAGCAUUUAUGAUGGCUGGCAUGAAUAUGCGGAAGAUAGAAUGGGAGUCCUAGUUGACCUUCAUAUAAUUUUUAGAAGAUGGAGCACUUCAACUUCUUCCACUCAUGAAAAGAGAGGUGACAGGUGAAGACAGAACAAGAAAACAAACCAAGAAUUUCCCCUCACCAGCCACCAGCUCUGCCAGCAACUUGAUCUUAGACUUCCCAGCCUCCGUAACGCCUCUGCUUAUAAUCUGUCAUGGAUUGGAAAACUAGAAAAAACAGUUUACAGAGUAUAACAAACUUUGGAGGAGUUAAUCGACUCUAAGUAAAAGAGUAUCUAGCACGGCUGUGGAACAAAGGAGAGACUCACAAACUGUUGAAAGAAUAAAUGAAUGAAUGAAUUCUGUUCAUGAGCUUUAAUAAAACAGCUCUGAGUAGUAACAGUGGAUCAAAUUUAGGCUUCUUGAUGCAGGCAUGGUGUAGAUUACUACUUCUGUAUUGUCCCAGGAGCUCAGCACAUUCCUGCAGAGAUGAUAGGAGCUCAUCUGAUACUUGUCAGCUUUGAAUAAACUCCAGUCCCCAAGAGAGAGAAUGAGAAUCACCGGAAUACGAAACUUCCCUGUUGGACUUCCCAACAUUCUUGAAUGCACCAAGAUAGCCUCUUGCUGUGAGAUUAAUAAAUGAAUAAAUGCCUCCAUAUUUUUCAAAUCUGUGAAGUUAACAACAUGUAGAUUUUUUUGCAUAUUUAAAAACUGCAACUAAAUCUUAAUGCCUCUGAAGCAGAUGGAAGAAAAUAAUAGGCUUCCAUUAACUGUGUCAAAUUGUAUAGGUCUUGGCCAUCACUGGUCCUGUUGUGAUGAAGGUUUUUUGCCCUUGGAUAUAAUUUAAUUUUCAAUUCUUCUAAUUAUGGUACUUCAGAACAUCAAUAUUUGAGAUGAACUUCUCUAGUGUCAAGGACUGAUUUGAGUUGUGUAAACCCUGAAUAUCUGAGACAGGUCUCGAUUAUUUUAGAAAGUUUAUUUUGCCAAGGUUGAGGAUGUGUGCCUGUGACACGGCCUCGGGAGGUCCUGAGGACAUGUGCUCAAGGUGGUCAGAGCACAGCUUUGCUUUAUACAUUUUAGAGAGACAUGAGACAUCAACCGACAUAUGUAAGAUGAACAUUGGUUCCAUCUGGAAAGGCGAGACAACUUCAAACGAGGAGGGGGCUUCCAGGUCAUAGGUAGAUAAGAGACAAAUGGCUGCAUUCUUUUGAGUUUCUGAUUAGCCUUUCCAAAGGAGGCAAUUAGAGUGAGCAAAAUGAACAAAAUCAAUUAUUUUGAUUCUGAACAAAAUGGGAGGCUGGUUUUCCCUAAGCAGUUCCCAGCUUGACUUUUCCCUUUAGCUGAGGGAUUUGGGGGGCCCAAGAUUUAUUUUUCUUUCACCGUUGUAUCAAACUACACAGGCGGCCUUGGAAACCAUCACAGUUGAGAGUAGGUAACGCCCAUUUGUUGCAUAGUUUUGUGCUCCACACUCUUAUCUACAAAAUUAUGAAUUUUUUUACAUAUAUUAAUUUCAGAAAAACUAAAAAUAAAACAAAGUAGUUUCAAACUAGUAUUGUUUUUAUAUCUUAAAAAUAAAGCUUUAUAUACUCUCCUUACCUCAUCAUAAAUAGCUUGCCUUAUUUAAUAUAUACUCGGCAUUCUAUCUGUUUUAUUUCCAUUUUGGGAUAUGAUAUUUUAAUUUUUUAAUUUGUUACCUAAACAAAAAAUAAUACACAAAUUAUUCUCAGCCUUUAUAUAUGUACUUGUUGAAAGAUGAGAUAUAUAAGUGCCGGUAAGUGCUUCAAGUAAGGAAGACAUCUGGCCUGUGUCUUGGGGAUCGCAUAAUCACUGUGGUGACAGUUUCAGAGAGUAGCAUGUGUAGGGGUUUGUGGAGUUAGCAAAGACAAGAAGCAUGAAGCACAGCCAAAAGUUUUUUUUCAGACACAAGAUAUAUUUGAAGUUUGAAAUAGAGUGAAGACCCAUAAAUGGGGAAGAAGUGAGGAUUCUAAGUGUCUGUGCAGAAAAUUUAGCAUAAUUUGUUGAGGAUUUGGAGAGUGUGUCAAAAGACAGAUAAAGAUUGCAGAUAGCUGCAAGAUCCCAGCCUCAGGGGAUCUCAAGCCGUAGGGAUUCAGCAUUUAGUCCUGCACCUAUGUGUGUGUGUUACAGGACAUGAGAAAUGAUUUAAAAAAAAACACCACCCUGGAUAAAUUCUUAGUUCUGCUCUGUUUAGUGUCUAGUGCUAGGAGAUCAAAGGAGAAGACUGUAACUUGAGCUUGACUUUGAAGUCAAUAGGACUUGUACAGUGUGGCGAAUAUACCAUAAGGGGAGUCCCAGUUGAGUCAUACUUGUUGAUGAUCCCUAUUCCUUGAGCAUGAACAGAACCUGAGACUUGCUUCUAACCCAUAGAAUAUGGCAAAAACGGUGGAAUGUCACUCCCUUGAGGUAUAAGUUAUAUAUAGAUAUAGUAUAGAUAUAUAUAGAUGAUAUAGAUGUAUAUAUAGAUACAGAUAUAAAUGUAGACAUAGAUAUAGAUGUAUGACUGUGGGCAGACAAGGAUGAGAUGACAGACCCUGCCUUGCUGGCCCUGAAGAUGUGAGCUGCUAUGCUGUGAGGUGGGCUACAAAGGAGCCACAUGAUAGGGGACUGUGGGAACCUGCAGGAGCUAAGAGUGGCUCCCAGCUAACAACCAGCAAGAAAGCAGAACCUCAGCUCUGCAGCUGCAAGUAACUGAAUUCUGCCAACCAUCAUGUGAGCUUGGAAUAGGACCCUGAGCUCCAAAAAGAAGCGCCACCCAGCUGACACCUUGAUUGUAGCCUUGUGAGACCUUGAUCAAAGGACUCAGCUAAGCCAUAUCUGGACUUCUGAUCCAUGAAAACUGUGAGAUGAUAAAUGUGUGUUGUCGUAAGCCACUACGUGUGUGGUAAUUUAUUAUGUAUCAAUAGAAAAAUAAUAUAGAUGGCUAGAGAAAAAGAUGAGUAUAUCCUGGGCACUCUAG
rnacentral:lncRNA from 10 species